rnacentral:rRNA from 1 species
AUGACCAGAUACUUCUGCUGUCUCAGUAUUCCUUCUAUACGGCGAAACUGCGAAUGGCUCAUUACUGAGUUAUAGUUUAUUUGAUGGUCAUUCAUUACAUGGAUAACCGUGGUAAUUCUAGAGCUAAUACAUGCGCUCAAGGCCAACUUCGUGGAGUGGUUGUGUUUAUUAGAUACAGAACCAACCCAGGCUCCGCCUGGCCUUGAGGUGAUUCCUAAUAACCGAACGAAUCGCAUGGCUAUGCCGGCGAUACACCGUUCAAGUUUCUGACCUAUCAGCUAUCCUCCGUAGGGUAUUGGCCUACCGUGGCAAUGACGGGUAACGGAGAAUUAGGGUUCGAUUCCGGAGAGGGAGCCUGAGAAACGGCUACCACAUCUAAGGAAAGGAGCAGGCGCGCAAAUUACCCAAUCCUGACACCGGGAGGUAGAGACAAGAAAUAACUAUACAGGGCAUACAUGUCUUGUAAUUGGAAUGAGUAAACUUUAAAUCACUUUACGAGU